UGGCAGACAACAGUAGACUGAUUGCUGG
rnacentral:piRNA from 1 species